GGGAGGGCGGUGGGCUGCUGCUUUCCCCCCACCUGGGGGUUCUAAGAAUUUUUAAGUCACAGGAACACACGCAUAUACACAUCAGCAACCUCAGCCUGAAAACUCGCACCAUGCCAAGCCAUCACUGCCACCGGAGGAAUCUUGCCUGGCUUUUACUUACCUUCAGGGGGAGUGUCCGCCCUCUGCUAAUCACCUCCACUUGAGGCUGCGGCCAGUGCUGACUGGAAGCAGGAUCCACACAGAGGAGGAGAAAGGGCCUGCUUCCAACUGCAGAAGCUGAAGGGGCUGUAUCCUCUUUCUCUUGCUCCUGACAGCUGAGGUUCCACCAACAGGAUCCUU